GAGCCUUGAGAUAAUGUAUAUUAUGAUUUGCUGCUAUACAAAUAAAAUUGAAUUGAUGCUGUAGCUGGUUACCAUGGUGACAACUCAAACAUCAAAUGACUGUGUUUGUUCAGAUCUUUUCCUGUCUCAUGGCCUUCUUCCUCUGUAACAUGAUGGAGACUCACUUCCUGUCGACUGGAGCCUUCGAGGUCACUCUGAACGAUGUUCCCGUCUGGUCGAAGCUUCAGUCGGGUUACGUCCCGAACAUCCAGGAGAUUUGUCAGAUCCUCGACAACCACCUGAAGAUGAACCAGGUUGAUCACAUGACCUUCUCCACCACUUAGAUCAACACACAGCCCUGGUGCGUUCAGGUGUCCCGGCUCAGUGGGCCGUUCAGCCGGUGGCGUUCAUGAAGGUCUGGCCCUAAAGCAGACUCUGCGGGGCCUGGCCGGAUGUCCUGCGCCACCAAACGAGUGCUCCCUCUGCAUCUGGUCACAACUCAGCAAUACAGUACCCUCAAUGCACCUGGUCAUAGGUGGCGUACGCCGAAGACUGUUGUUUCAGGCUAAUUUUAUUUAUUUAGUAUGGUACCAGUGUUAGCUUCAUGCUAACAGGAAGUAGCAGACAGGAAACAGAAAUAAACAGAUGAAGUAUUUGUUCCAAUGAACGUCUAAAUAAAAUCUGUAAAAUGUGUGAAA